ensembl:lncRNA novel transcript
CUCUUUGUUCCUACCCUCUGCUAUGAGAAGAGUGUUCCAGAGAGGGGCUGCUCCUCCAGCCUACAUCCUGGGAUGGAAAGAAAUGUGGAGCUCAGCAGAGCCCAAAGCAAGCCAGAGCUGACCUACAGAACUGGAAACCAGAAGUAAUGUCAGGAGAGGCUUUCCCAUCUGAAAGAUAAUGAAACACCUGCUAUUCCUGAGGAGUCCACUAGAGGAUGAGACUCAUCCAGCCAUCCAACCGAGAGAUAAGUGGGGAAACUUUGGCAAAAGGACUGUUGUCAACGUUGAAGUCAAGAUGGCAAAGCAAGAAUCCCCUCUGAUUGCAAGAAAUUGUCAGAAGAAGCUAUCCAGUCCUCUGAUUGUGGGAAUCUGCACCGAGCUGGCUACAGCUCUACAAAGAUGAGAUUUCCAGAAAGAAUGCUGCCAAUCGCCAGAGGCAGACAUGUUUAUCAGGCUGUGUAUCUUGAAGUCUGACAGAAAAUCUGUGGCCUUUGGUACAGCUGAAAAACACUCUGUCAACACCAUGGAGAGUGCAAGCCCGUUGUGCUGGCCUCAACCCAAGGAGUGCAGGGGAAUGGACAAAAAUUUGACUCAAGGCCAAAAAUUACAAGAGGAGGGAAAGUCAGACUUGAGGCAAACAAGCCUUUUCCAUCGGGUCUGUUUAAUAUCUCGUGUAAGCAUCCAAACCACAAAUCGGUCAGUGCUUAGGUGAAAAGACAAGUUUUUCUCCCUUUUGGAAAGCUAUUUUGCUUAAGCUCCUAUGAAUACAUCAAUUAUAUUAGCCCUGAGAGUGUCUGUCAGUGCAAUGUUAAAAGGUCCACUAUUUUUCAGACUGCCCACAUCAGAAACAAAAUACCCUUCAAACUCUCUGCCCUGAAUUGCUUGGGCCAAAGAGAGCUUGAGAGAAAAAGGCAUAAACUCCACAACAUUGACAGUGAGAAGAGCCACUGGUUUUAAGUAAAUUGUAGUCAUAUUUAUCAGCUUAAUAAAAUCCCCCCAGCACUCGUGUGCCAUCAAAUUCUUCAAUUUCAAAUUCAGGAAAAAUGGCUCUUUUGUGACAGAAGGUAUAAGGCCAAAGGGCAGGUUGUCAGCGAGACCGCCUCCCCUGCAGGCCAGUUGGGCUUGGAGCUUUGGGAAGGCAAGUUUGCAAGAGCCUAGGCCUGUUGCAGAAAUACUCUGUCCUCAGCUUUUCCUUCAGGGCCAGGUCCCUGGAUUCUUGGAUAAGACAUUUACAAUAUGCGGGCACCACACUGAAUCAGGACUGUGUGCAGAGAAGCAAACCAGGCCUUUCCACAUAGAUAGGAAAAAAUAAUCAUAACAGUUCAUGGUUAUGCAGCUUCCAGUGGACUCCAUUGUUACCUGGUAAUCAUCAGUCAAUUGCCAUCACCCUUAACCUUAAAGGUGUCACUUUCGUACUUCAGGUAUUCUUUCCAAAGUCCCUCUACCCCUUCUUCUCCCUGUCUUAUCUGUCCCUGAUCUCUGCCACCCUCAGUUGCUUACAUUGGCCAACCAGCCUGAAAUGGGAGAGGUUGAAUCCUUCAUGCUAUGUGCAUAGCCAACAUUCCACAAGAUUUAUGUCACUAAAGCCUGUGAAAAUGACAAAUGGUGAGAAAGAGGGCCAAAAAGGGAAGCAAAAAUAAAUCCAACUACGAUUUAACAAAGGGCGGCCCAGUAUCUGUACCUAGUGGGUACUGUGAUAUCUUGAGGGACAUGAAUUUAACAAGAGAAAUAAACUGCUGUAUGAGGAUCUUUAAAA